rnacentral:rRNA from 1 species
AUUGAACGCUGGCGGCAUGCCUUACACAUGCAAGUCGAACGGUAACAGGUUAAGCUGACGAGUGGCGACCGGGUGAGUAAUACAUCGGAACGUGCCCAGUAGUGGGGGAUAGCCCGGCGAAAGCCGGAUUAAUACCGCAUACGACCUAAGGGUGAAAGGGGGGGAUCGCAAGACCUCUCGCUAUUGGAGCGGCCGAUGUCAGAUUAGCUAGUUGGUGGGGUAAAAGCUCACCAAGGCGACGAUCUGUAGCUGGUCUGAGAGGACGACCAGCCACACUGGGACUGAGACACGGCCCAGACUCCUACGGGAGGCAGCAGUGGGGAAUUUUGGACAAUGGGCGCAAGCCUGAUCCAGCCAUGCCGCGUGUGGGAAGAAGGCCUUCGGGUUGUAAACCGCUUUUGUCAGGGAAGAAAUCCUUUGGGUUAAUACCUCGGGGGGAUGACGGUACCUGAAGAAUAAGCACCGGCUAACUACGUG